GGAGGGGGGAGGGACACACUCAGACUGUGCUUGGACUCAGAAACCAUCACAGCAAACCAGGCAUAGUGGAAAUGCUCAGUCAUGGCCUGAAGCAGUGAUGGAGCACCUGGUGAGAAGGCAGGGCCAACUCCAGGAGUUCAGGUGCAUGCAAUGCAUCUGAGUGACUGUGAGGGGUGGAGCCCCUCCUUCCCAGUCCUCAUUUAAAGGUUGGGGAGGUGAGGGUAUCUCUUGUUGGAGGUUUCUGCUUGCCUAAGGCCUUUUGAAGAAUACAACUUCAUAUAUAAAUCCAAAACAGCACGCACACGCCGCACCUGUACUGAUUCAAGGCUGUGAUCCUGCUGGGAGUUGUUGGUGUACCCAUUGCUCAAGCCAAGGACUUGUGACAAGGGCAGGUGGAAGUUUGGGGCAGAAAAGGGAACAUUGGACUUGCUGUGCCAGCCCAGAUGAAAGGUUGAACAAGCCCAGGCUCCUGUCUCUGGCAGCGGCCAGAAAAGCUUCAGGAAAGCACAGAACAACAGAACAAGCAUAAAGUAAUACUUUCCCCACUCCAUCCUCCUCACAGACUAAUUUCCCCGCCCUAUACCAGCUCAACUUCUCUGGCAGGAAUGUUGGGGAUGGCAGACCUGUGCUUUCAUCUGCUCCCAAGCCUCCUGCUGACAAAACUGCACCUCUGUGAUCCCACUCAACCAGCUUUUGGCCCAGCUACCCAGCCAGAAUAAAGCUACCUGGAACUACUGCUUGGUUCAGGAGCAAACCACUCUGAAAAGGUUUUGCAUACAUCUUACUUCAAAACUUCUUUGUGACCUUUCCCACUGAUGUCAGGCUUGUGCACAGGAGAGCAAGCCACAGAGCCCCGUGUCUCGUCUGUUUGUCCCAGCCACCAGGUGCUUUCUGAUGGACAUGCAGAGAUCAAAUAAACAAAAUCCCACUUUACUACAGAAAGAGAGACCUGUCACCAUGGUGCUGGGCUCAGAGAGCUGCAGAGCAAAAGCUUCACCAAGCCGUAUGGCUGAAUUGUUCCCUUCUUCGUCGCCCAUUAAAAAAAUCUAAGUGGAAGAUGAGAAGCUGCCUGCUUUAGGUUCAUGUAUGAAUAAUUAUAGGUACCUGCACUAGCAAGGGAGUUUCUGAAAGACGAGUAAAGAGCUGGGCCUCUUCAGGGAAUCUGUGGCAAGCAGGUCAUUCAAAAAUAACUUUUGGAGGCUAUGGGAAGUGGGUGAAAUGAAGUAACAAACAGCUUCUGAAAAAAACAGCUGAUGAAAGGGAGUGUUUCAUCUGAUAUCACAAACUGUUAGUUUUCAUUCUGAUCCUGUUGUUUUCUUCUUUAUAUAGCUCAUAGAGUGCUCCUAAGUUGUCUCCAAAGGAUAUUAAUUUUCCACUGGCAUCAGAAAGGCUGAAGUGAUACUUGCAAUGAGGGUAAAUGACUCCCUUGAGGUUUUGGCACCCACAGCUCUGGACUAACUGGAAACACAGGCAAUUAAUAAAUCAGAAAAUCAGUGCCUCUCGGCCUUCACUGCUCCAGGGAAGCCAACGGGAGCUUUGUCAGUAGGACUAGGAGACUAGACCAAGACCACAGAGCGUGCCCCAUAAAGGACUUGCAUGUGAAAAAGCUCGGCGGUCUACAAUGAAUGCCAGCUCUUAAAAGUUCUGAUCAAGGUCUGAAGUAGACUGAAGCAGAAAACACUGAACAAGAACUGGGAUCAACCACAAACAUGGAGGUGGCUUCAGCCACUAUGGGAGGACUGCUGCAGCCACAUGGUGAUGCUGAGUGAAGCUCACCAGCAAGCAGAAAAUACAACUGGUUCUUGCUCUCAGGGAUGUAAGGCCAUCUCAGAUAGUAAUGUCUAAGGCAUCAAAACUUAUUCCUUGUGAAGCCUGGGUGAUAACUGGUAAUUAAGACUGUAACAGCCACAAUCUGUGAUAUGCUGUCAUCUACACAAAAUCUACCUGAUUCCAGCUCAUCUGGAAGCAAAAACAUCACUAUGAUUGCUGAGAUAGGAAUUGAAAGCCAUAUGCUGAAAGCCAGCCUGUUUCUCAGGGUCCUCUUAAAGUUUUCAUGCUGGCUGAAAGUAGAUCAUAAGCUCUGUGGCACUUGUCACCAUUAUUUUACCUCCUUUUUUUGUGUGUGUGUGCAGAGAACCGUUUGCAAUGUGAAAUAGUGCUAGACAUUGCCAAAAAAGCCAACCAAACAUCCUGCUUAUGCUACUUGGAUGAAAGACAUCUUUAGAAGAUGGACUCCGGGGGACAAACAAAUAAUACCAACAAAGUACGUGUAUAUACACACAGCCCUAUACACGCUUGUAUCUCAGUUGUAGAGUUCUCUUCCUCACCAUCGAUUACUAACUCGCUGUUUUCUUUCCAGAAAGAAAAAGUCCUUGACAGAAUUUAAGCGAUGAGUAAUGAAUCUGCUUUCCUCCAUUCCAGCUGCUACACAGGCACGUACAUGAGUCCCUGGCCCUGCAAAUUUGAACAUUUUAACCUUGUCUUGUGUCCUGUGCCUCUCCUGUCACCUAAUGUUGUUGCAGUUAGUGCACUCUUAAGUCAGGUCUACCUCUCUCAGUAGCUAGGGCAACUGUAUUUACAGGAAGCAAGAAAAUACACUUAUAAACAGCAGUAUGCGUCUGGGGAUAAUGUCAGCACUUCAACCAGAGUCUUGCUAUUCUCUUGGCGUUGUCAUCGCUGGAUCCUCUGCCCUUCCUUACACGUGGGCUUGAGGAGGUGGUUGUUUUGGCUGGAAUUAGAGAGGCACAGGUGGUAUCACCAGCUGUAAAUUGGAGGAGGCACUUCCUGAUUAUGACCACUGCCUACACAUAAAUCACUGCCAAGAGAGGAGCUGAGAAGCAUAGAAGCCUUCUCCUUACUUGGAAAGAGGGCCUCAAGUGUAGUCAGAAUUCCCCUGUUCUGUGUUUUUUUUCACCUAUAGGUUUCAGGGUCCUUUGUGGGCUCUUGGCUUCCCAAAAUGAUGUGACAUGGAAAACCCUCAGCUGAGUUUGACAUGUGGAUAAACCAAAGCAUCAAGUACUUGAGCAUCUAACACUUGGGCACUCAAAUCCUCAUAAAGGCACUGGGAGCUCAUGGGAGCUCAGGAGAUGCACAUACAGGAGGCAUUUGAGAGCCAGGACUACAGCAAAGAAUCAGGUAUUUGCUCAACCGCAACAAAGUGUCAUCCCCUUCAAGUGGUGAAUGAGCCCUUGAUCUGUGAGGUCAAGAUUUUUGCCUUCUGGCUUUACAUGUUUGUGGUGAGAGACCUGUACAAAGCUGCAGCGAGCGCUAAGUCUCUGGCGAGGAGUUUGGGUGCUGUUUUUGGAAAGCACUGCUGGCCAUCUGUAGUCACCCUGCACAGACUGCCACAGUCCUGCUCUCCUGUGCUAGCAGACACAGAUGGGUGUAGUUGUGUUUUACUGUCAGGUUAAGAGGUGGUUUUUUUUCCCCAAUUAUUAUCUAGUGUUAAUUUCUCUACCUGUUCACUUGUACACAGUGAAGACCUCUGCUGCUGGCCCUGACUUGCCUUGUCUGCAGGAAACUUGGGACGUUGAGUCGCCUCAUCAACCAAUUUGCUGGGGUGACCAUUCAGCCCCUUGCUGUCUCAUGGUCUUGCUUUUUGGGGUAUUUCUUCCCUUUUAACCCAAAGCGUUUUCAAUGUGGGUCCACUGAACGUACAGAUGGAGAGCAGGGAGUGAGGGAGAGGUGUUGCAGAAUCAACCCACCAACGUGUGCUGCUCACCCACGCACAUGGGGAGAGGGAAAGAUUAAAAGAUUAAAGUUACAAACUGAAAACCGCCCCAGGCUACCGCUGAGAUCUGAGUGACUGCCUGCGAAGCCAAACUCCCACUCUGGAGGUGCCGCGCCACGCUCGCUGUCACUCACUCCACACUUGCUUUCUCCUGCCAUCCCUUCCUGCCACUGGCUUUGCUAUUUUUACAGGCUGAAAAAUUAAGUAAUCGUCUGGUUUGGCCAUGAAGGAGAGCCCAGAGCAACUCCUGGUUGUCAUUGCGGGGCUCAUGGGUGUAGUCUUGUGCUCCAUCGCUGCCCUCCUGUACUUCUAGACCUUAAAGACUCCUCCGUCAGCCUUCUGCUUUGCCUCAUUUGCCUGUAUCACGGCCAGGUUGGGUUUGGAUGUGGCUCAGGACUGGUGUGGGAGGGACAGCAAUUUGCAGCAGUCAGGAUUUCGGUAAUGAAGUGGGGAAGUUUGUAAGGUCUUCAGUGCUUUCUUGCCCCUACAGAGAUGUGCAAAUCAAGACCUACUCUACCAAGCUUACAAUUAAAUAUGCCCACAGUUUUAUACUCCUUCCUGCCAUUUGUUUAGAUUUUCUCACUUUCUUUUUUUUCCCUUUGUUAGAACUGGACCAAGAUUGUGGCUUUAUGGCUGAAAGGUACAGAACUAAAACUAAGGUCUAGGAGCUCCAAAAGAGUUAUCAGUGCUGUGCUUGUGUUGGUAGGCAUGAUGCAAAAUGAAACAAGGUUAUUUUUAUUUGAUUGUAGCAGUUAAUCUGAGCCAAAACGAUGAUUUCAUUUAAUUCUGGGAGUAUUGAGCUGUAUAAGUCAUUUUUUUCCAAUUUGUUUUCUGUUAUUGUAGUUGAGUUUAGGGGUACUUUUUGUCAGAAACAGGCUGUUUCAAAGAAAAAAAAAAGAAAGGUUUGGCUCUGCUAUUUUGAAAAUGUUGAAAUGGUGUAUUUUGACAUCUCAGAAGUUCCUCCUCCUCCCUGUGCUUUUCAGAUGAAGGUAUUCCUCAGACGCAGGCUGAUCUUGUCAGUGUGUUCAGUUCCCUUAGGGUUCCAUAUUUAAUCUGAUCUCCCAGCUAUCAGCUAUGCUGCCCCGCUCUGCCACUGUGUGGAGGUGACAAAGGAGCACCAGGACCUUCUCGCUCCUGCAAGAAAUGGUGCUCAUUGCACAUGAGAUGAUGGGACAGCCUACUCCUAGCUUGGCUUUCCUGCUGAGGACAGUGGGAGCCCUGCAGAUCAGGACACGUUCGAGUGAUUCGUACCUGCCCUUAGAUACCAGCAUUUCUUCUGGCGUGACUGGUUUCUCUCAUCUGCUGCCAAUGGUCUUGUCAGGGCAAACGUGCUGAGCUGAUGGGAUGCCCUGGUAGGGGCAGCUGUGAGUGGAGCUUUACAACCAUGUUGCCAGAAUUCUUAAGAAAUUGGAUGCUGGCCUAUAAAACAGGAAUGCAACUACUGAUGUUAAGGAGUCAGAUAGUUUCUCUUUCUGCCCCAAGGAGAAACUGACUGUAUGAAGAUGUACAAGAACUUGGCUUUAUAAACAUAAAUUUACUUGCAGUUAAUGGAAAUGGCUUCAGUCUGCCUUCCUGCUUGUGCCAGCCACAGCCCUCGGCACGGUGCAGGCAGCUCACACGUGCAUCAUGAUCAGCACCCUGCUGGGAGAGAGCUUCACCAUCUGAGUGCUCACAGCCCCUCCAGCAGCUCACCCAGCCCUUCACCUGCAGGGGCCUGUGCCUCAGAGGGGGUCAGCAGCAAGCUCCGUGCUUCCCAAGGGAUGCACAGUUCUUGGUAAGCGUCUGGCUGUAACAGGCACGGCUAAAAUACCACAUUGGGCACAAUUCAAUGCAGUCAUUUCCACACUCGUUCCGGUUCUGAUGACGACUCAAUGAGCUCAAAGUCUUUGCAAAGUUUAUGCACCACAUGCUUGCACAGGUCUUGGUCUGUGAUGAAUCUGUAGCUUCCAACAAAUUACAGUUGGUGUGCUGUUUUAUUUACAUAGGAUUCAUCUAAUUCAAAUGACUAGAUGAAAUCCUUUCAUCUUUGGGGCACAGGAGGUCAGAGUACGGUGAUUUUAUACGGCUGCUCCGGGCCAUAAAAUCUGUUCAUUUGACAAUCAAUAGAAAGAUAUCACUUGCAAUGUUGAUGAGGUAAUUUCCUCCUCCAGUCAGCUCUGACCCUGUCUUCCUGGUUCACACUCUCCCAGCAAGGUGAAAACUCCUGAAGUUCUGCUCUGCUCCAUCCUGCCCCCGCUGACGCCCGCACACCCUUCCAUUUCUUAGUUCCCACCCCAGCUUUCUUCUGCCUCCAUUGCCCAUGAUCUCAGCUGUCAUAUAUUAAAAUUCCUUGUACUUUGAAGCCACUCGCUGAUUUACAUGCUCCAAGCAUGCAAGUUCUCUUCCUGAACUCUUAUUCUAACCAUGCACUCAAUAAGGUGGUGCCAAAAAAAAACACAUCCUGCUCUAUAUUUGUUCUCUGCUGCAUUGCACAACUUCAUAUAUGUAGUGUAUAGGAGACAACAGACCUUCUGGGGCAUAGUCUGUGACAAGUCACCUGCCCAGCAAGCCCACUGUGCUGGAUGCUAUGAAUAUUUAUUGUGCUUAAGAACGAUCCUUGCCUUUCAUCUGGCACUCCAUCACCAGAUCAGCAACGGCUUCAAUGAGGAAGUUGAGUCAAUCCUGAUUUCCAGAUGGAAACGUGGAGAAGGUGAAGUAACCUGCGUGGUGUCAGUGUGCUGGCACAGCAGAGCCACAAGACACACAGAGGAACUGUGUGCAGCCACCUCUGGGCCUGGCCUUGCACUCCAGCCACAACACCCUGCCCAACAAUAUAUCAAAAAAGAAGUGCUUGUGCAAUGCAUUUUUGCCUUCUUCGUUAAGAGUAAACAAUUUGAAGGUUUUCCUCCCAGGCAUUCAUGGCAUCCUUGAGAAAUGUGUUUCAACAUGCACUUUUCCUAAUGCUGUGUGUGUCUUACGACCCAGCCUGCAGCUGUGACCUGCUAGAAGGAAACAGCCUGCGGUGAGUUGGGGUGGCAGUGCCAGCCCUGUGCUCUGCUCUGCAGCUCUUAUGGUGGCAGUUGGAGCUGGAGGGACCAACCAAGGAGCUGUGCUGCGUGGAGCUCUUCGGGGAGCUGUACCAGCUGCUGUGUUGGCAGCCUUGUAAUUGCCUCUGGAUCUGCCUUGCCGUCUUGUUUCCUUCUAUGUAAUUGCUUGCUGCAGAUUUUCUUUUCUUCAUUCUGUAGAACUUGUAUCUUGCUCGGAUUUCUCCUCAAUCUGAGAGUCAGAGGAAAUAGAGAACUCAUCGGCUGCGUGCUUCUUCCAUAUAUUAUGAAAGUGUCCCUAUGCCAUGUGUGAUUUUCUUCUUUUUUCAUGCAAUCAGACAGCACAACACAGAGCCAGAGAAGGAAGGAUCCAUCCUGCCGAGAUGCUCCUUGCUCUCAGCUCCACAAAGGCGACAGCAGAUCUAUCACUUCCCCCCUCUCUAACCCUGUGCUUUACUUCCCCCACACAUACUGCUGAGUUUUGCAAAUGUCGUGUGGCAGAGCAUCUGAUAUGUCACGGAGAGCUCUGUGUGGCACAAAGCUGGGACAGCCCUGGAGCCCUGCAGGAGCUGCAGA